rnacentral:tRNA from 1 species
GGCUUGUGGCUCAGCGGUAGAGCGCUUGCCUCACAUGUGCAAGGCCCUGGGUUCGAUCCUCAGCACCA